rnacentral:rRNA from 1 species
GAUUAACGCUGGCGGCGUGCAUAACACAUGCAAGUCGAACGAUGAAACUUAACUGAUUUCUUCGGAAUGAUUUUAAGUGGAUUAGUGGCGGACGGGUGAGUAACGCGUGAGUAACCUGCCUUGGAGAAGGGGAUAGCCUUUGGAAACGAAGAAUAAUACCCUAUGAUAUGAUAAUAUCUCAUGAUAUUAUCAUCAAAGAUUUAUCGCUCUAAGAUGGACUUGCGUCUGAUUAGUUAGUUGGUGAGGUAACAGCUCACCAAGGCAGCGAUCAGUAGCCGGCUUGAGAGAGUGUACGGCCACAUUGGGACUGAGACACGGCCCAGACUCCUACGGGGGGCAGCAGUGGGGAAUUUUGCACAAUGGGGGAAACCCUGAUGCAGCGACGCCGCGUGAUUUAGAAGGCCUUCGGGUUGUAAAAAUCUUUUGUAUGGGAAGAAAAUGACAGUACCAUACGAAUAAGGACCGGCUAAUUACGUG